GGUCAGACGAGAGUGCAUCUUCAAAGGUCUGUGUGUACCUAAAUGAAGAUCCAGAGAAGCUGGUGAGGGAGUACAUGGACGUUGAUGAAUGAAAUGGCCAAAGCCGAGACUGUCCUCGGAAUCGUUGUCAUUUGAGCAGAGGCUGCUGAUGCACAUCUGGAUGUUGGGAUUGUCCUGGAGGAGGUGGAAGUUAUGAACAGCUUGGGCAGUGUAUCUUCUGCAAUAGUGAUGCUGCUGGGACUAAUCUACGCACUAAACUUGAGCUACCCUCAAGUUUAGUGCGUUCAGCACUCAACUUGCUCAGUAACUCAAGCAUACCUUUGAAGUAAUACAGAAAAUAAUAAUGAAAUUGGAUGGAAAGAAUUUAUCAAAGAAAGCACAAGUUCUCAAUAUGAAACUCGCUGCUAAGUUGAGUAAAGUUUCAUAUGGAAAAUGAGUGUUUAAAGUCUGCAGUAGAAAAGAUUUAUAUUGUUACAGUUCUCUAAGUUGAGCAACUAUACUGACAUGUUUUAUGUUGUAAAGAAUUGGCUGGGAAAUGAAACUGUAACCUUUUGUAGUUGUUUUUUUAUUUCAAUGUCCAACUCAGCUGUGUUUUGUGCUGUGUAAAAAAACGAUGUAUAACAAUUCUGAAAAUACAAUUGUGUUGUACCUUUUCUAA